rnacentral:rRNA from 1 species
UACGUAGGGUGCGAGCGUUGUCCGGAAUUACUGGGCGUAAAGAGCUCGUAGGUGGUUUGUCGCGUUGUUCGUGAAAACCUGAGGCUUAACCUUGGGCGUGCGGGCGAUACGGGCAGACUGGAGUACUGCAGGGGAGACUGGAAUUCCCGGUGUAGCGGUGAAAUGCGUAGAUAUCUGGAGGAACACCGGUGGCGAAGGCGGCAUCCUGGACCGACACUGACGCUGAGGAGCGAAAGCCAGGGGAGCAAACGGG